CUUUAAAAAGCCAUUUCGUUGCAUGAGACCCAGCAGAGUGAGUAGGUGGCUGAAGUAUUUGACUGAAGAUCCUGUAACCGGGGCAAGCUUCUGAGCCCCCUCAGUUCUCGGCUUUUUCGUAUGUGUGAUCCUGGCAGCCGCUCUAAAGGGUUGUGGUGCGCCGAGAAUGAACUGGGAUAUAGUGUGGAUUUCACCGACUGCAGGAGCCCCAGGCCACUUCUGAGGCAUCCCUAGGGUUCCAGGGAACACGGUUUGAAACUACAGUGUUUCAGGAUUACUGGGCAAAAGCAGAAUGAAACUCACUUUAACAAAUCUGCCUGUCCUAAAGUAAACCUGGACCCAUCCUAAGCUUCUCGAGGGCCAGCAGGACAUGGCACCCACUGAAACCACAAGUGUCUGUUGAAUGAAUGAAUGAGUUAAGCGCUGCGUUUUCACCUCAGAGCCGGGGCCUGGCCUCUCUGUCCCGGAACACCACCUUUUAAGGCGACAGAGUCUCUGACUUGCUCUGGGACGCUAGAGCUUGUGCUUUGGUUGCCUUCGUACCAGAAUAAUUUGUGACAUCUCAGGUGGAACUGCUGGUGAUAUAAUCAAGACUUCAAAA